rnacentral:tRNA from 1 species
GCCAGCGUAGUGUAGUGGUUUGAAUGCUGGACUAGGACUCUGGAGACCAGGGUUUGAAUCCUCACUCAGCCA